rnacentral:rRNA from 1 species
UAAGGAAUUUGGCGGGGGAGCACCACAAGGGGUGAAGCCUGCGGUUCAAUUGGAGUCAACGCCAGAAAUCUUACCCGGAGAGACAGCAGAAUGAAGGUCAAGCUGAAGACUUUACCAGACAAGCUGAGAGGUGGUGCAUGGCCGUCGCCAGCUCGUGCCGUGAGAUGUCCUGUUAAGUCAGGUAACGAGCGAGAUCCUCGCCACUAGUUGCUAUCAUUAUUCUCAGGAAUAGUGGGGCGAAUUAGUGGGACUGCCGUUGUUAAAACGGAGGAAGGAGGGGGCUACGGCAGGUCAGUAUGCCCCGAAACUCUGGGGCCACGCGCGGGCUGCAAUGGUAGCGACAAUGAGCUCCAAACUCGAAAGAGAGUGGCAAUCUCUAAACGCUACCACAGUUAUGACUGAGGGCUGUAACUCGCCCUCACGAAUAUGGAAUCCCUAGUAACCGCGUGUCAUUACCGCGCGGUGAAUACGUCCCUGCUCCUUGCACACACCGCCA